GUGCCAGCAGCCGCGGUAAGACGAACCGUGCGAACGUUGUUCGGAUUCACUGAGCUUAAAGGGCGCGUAGGCGGCUUGCCAAGUCAGGGGUGAAAUCUUUCGGCUCAACCGGAAAACAGCCCCUGAUACUGGUGAGCUGGAGGGAGGUAGGGGCGGAUGGAACUUCCGGUGGAGCGGUGAAAUGCGUAGAUAUCGGAAGGAACGCCGGUGGCGAAAGCGAUCCGCUGGACCUCUUCUGACGCUGAGGCGCGAAAGCCAGGGGAGCAAACGGGAUUAGAUACCCCCGUAGUCC
rnacentral:rRNA from 1 species